GAUGAACGCUGGCGGCGUACCUAAUACAUGCAAGUCGAGCGAACAGACGAGGAGCUUGCUCCUCUGACGUUAGCGGCGGACGGGUGAGUAACACGUGGAUAACCUACCUAUAAGACUGGGAUAACUUCGGGAAACCGGAGCUAAUACCGGAUAAUAUAUUGAACCGCAUGGUUCAAUAGUGAAAGACGGUUUUGCUGUCACUUAUAGAUGGAUCCGCGCCGCAUUAGCUAGUUGGUAAGGUAACGGCUUACCAAGGCGACGAUGCGUAGACGACCUGAGAGUGUGAUCGGCCACACUGGAACUGAGACACGGUCCAGACUCCUACGGGAGGCAGCAGUAGGGAAUCUUCCGCAAAGGGCGAAAGCCUGACGGAGCAAAGCCGCGUGAGUGAUGAAGGUCUUCGGAUCGUAAAACUCUGUUAUUAGGGAAGAACAAAUGUGUAAGUAACUAUGCACGUCUUGACGGUACCUAAUCAGAAAGCCACGGCUAACUACGUG
rnacentral:rRNA from 1 species